AGCAGCCGCGGUAAUUCCAGCUCCAAUAGCGUAUAUUAAAGUUGUUGCAGUUAAAAAGCUCGUAGUUGAAUUUCGGGGCCAGUAGGUUGGUCGUGCCACUGGUAUGCACUGGCCUUACUGGUCCCUCCUUCUUGUAGAACCGUGAUGCCAUUAAUUUGGUGUUGCGGGGAAACAGGACUGUUACUUUGAAAAAUUAGAGUGCUUAAAGCAGGCUCGCGCUUGAAUACAUUAGCAUGGAAUAACGGAAUAGGACGAUCGAACCUAUUUUGUUGGUUUCUAGGAUCGACGUAAUGAUUAAUAGGGAUAGUUGGGGGCAUUAGUAUUCAAUUGUCAGAGGUGAAAUUCUUGGAUUUAUUGAAGACUAACUACUGCGAAAGCAUUUGCCAAGGAUGUUUUCAUUAAUCAAGAACGAAAGUUAGGGGAUCGAAGACGAUCAGAUACCGUCGUAGUCUUAACCAUAAACUAUGCCGACUAGGGAUCGGAUGAAGUUAAUUUUUAAUGACUCAU
rnacentral:rRNA from 1 species